rnacentral:rRNA from 1 species
GAUGAACGCUGGCGGCGUGCUUAACACAUGCAAGUCGAACGAUGAAAGCGGGAGCUUGCUCCUGCUGGAUUAGUGGCGAACGGGUGAGUAACACGUGAGCAAUCUGCCCCGAACUCUGGGAUAAGCGUUGGAAACGACGUCUAAUACCGGAUACGACGCGCGAAGGCAUCUUCUGCGCGUGGAAAGAACUUCGGUUCGGGAUGAGCUCGCGAGCUAUCAGCUAGUUGGGGAGGUAACGGCCCACCAAGGCGUCGACGGGUAGCCGGCCCGAGCGUGGGACCGGCCACACUCGGACUUGGACACGGCCCAGGCGCCUACGGGAGGCAGCAGUGGGGAAUACUGCACAAGGGGCGGAAGACUGAUGCAGCAACGCCGCGAGGGGGACGACGGCCUUCGGGUUGUAAACCUCUUUUAGUAGGGAAGAAGCGAAAGUGACGGUACCUGCAGAAAAAGCACCGGCUAACUACGUGCCAGCCGCCGCGGUAAGAC